rnacentral:rRNA from 1 species
UACGUAGGGAGCAAGCGUUGUCCGGAAUCAUUGGGCGUAAAGCGCGCGUAGGUGGCCCCAUAAGUCCGCUGUGAAAGUCAAAGGCUCAACCUUUGAAAGCCGGUGGAUACUGUCGGGCUCGAGUACGGAAGAGGCGAGUGGAAUCCUGGUGUAGCGGUGAAAUGCGCAGAUAUCAGGAGGAACACCAAUUGCGAAGGCAGCUCGCUGGGACGUUACUGACGCUGAGACGCGAAAGCGUGGGGAGCAAACAGG